rnacentral:rRNA from 1 species
UACGUAGGGGGGCAAGCGUUGUCCCGGAUUUAUUGGGCGUAAAGAGCGUGUAGGCGGCCAAGCAGGUCCGCUGUGAAAACUCGAGGCUCAACCUCGAGACGUCGGUGGAAACCCGUUUGGCUAGAGUCCGGAAGAGGAGAGUGGAAUUCCCGGUGUAGCGGUGAAACUGCGCAGACUAUCGGGAAGAACACCCCGUGGCGAAGGCGGCUCUCUGGGACGGUACUGACGCUGAGACGCGAAAGCGUGGGGAGCGAACAGG